rnacentral:rRNA from 1 species
UACGAAGGGUGCAAACGUUGCUCGGAAUCAUUGGGCGUAAAGGGCGCGUAGGCGGUUUUGUAUGUCUACCGUGAAAGCGUACGGCUCAACCGUAUUUUGUCGGUAGAAACUGCAGGACUUGAGGCUGGGAGGGGCUGGCGGAAUUCCCUGUGUAGCGGUGAAAUGCGUAGAGAUGGGGGAGAACACUCGUGGCGAAGGCGGCCAGCUAGACCAGUUCUGACACUGAGGCGCGAUAGCGUGGGGAGCAAACAGG